rnacentral:rRNA from 1 species
CUGUCGUCAGCUCGUGUUGUGAAAUGUUGGGUUAAGUCCCGCAACGAGCGCAACCCUUAUCCUUUGUUGCCAGCGAUUAGGUCGGGAACUCAAAGGAGACUGCCAGUGAUAAACUGGAGGAAGGUGGGGAUGACGUCAAGUCAUCAUGGCCCUUACGACCAGGGCUACACACGUGCUACAAUGGCGCAUACAAAGAGAAGCGACCUCGCGAGAGCAAGCGGACCUCAUAAAGUGCGUCGUAGUCCGGAUUGGAGUCUGCAACUCGACUCCAUGAAGUCGGAAUCGCUAGUAAUCGUGGAUCAGAAUGCCACGGUGAAUACGUUCCCGGGCCUUGUACACACCGCCCGUCACACCAUGGGAGUGGGUUGCAAAAGAAGUAGGUAGCUUAACCUUCGGGAGGGCGCUUACCACUUUGUGAUUCAUGACUGGGGUGAAGUCGUAACAAGGUAACCGUAGGGGAACCUGCGGUUGGAUCACCUCCUUACCUUAAAGAA